rnacentral:rRNA from 1 species
AGCGAACGCUGGCGGCAUGCUUAACACAUGCAAGUCGCACGGGCAGCAAUGUCAGUGGCGGACCGGUGAGUAACGCGUAGGAACUUGUUCUCAGGUGGGGGACAACCCUGGGAAACUGGGGCUAAUACCGCAUAUGGGCUGAGACCCAAAGCCGAGAGGCGCCUUUGGAGCGGCCUGCGUCCGAUUAGGUAGUUGGGGGGGUAAAGGCCUACCAAGCCUGAGAUCGGUAGCUGGUCUGAGAGGACGACCAGCAACCCUGGGACUGGGACACGGCCCAGACUCCUACGGGAGGGAGCAGUGGGGAAGAAUGGACAAUGGGCGAAAGCCUGAUCCAGCAAGGUCGCGUAGGUGAAGAAGGACUUCAGAACGUAAAGCCCUUUCGACGGGGACGAUGAUAACGGUACCCGUAGGAGAAGCCCCGGCUAACUUCGU